rnacentral:rRNA from 1 species
GAUGAACGCUAGCGACAGGCCUAACACAUGCAAGUCGAGGGGCAGCAUAGAGGUAGCAAUACUUUGGUGGCGACCGGCGCACGGGUGAGUAACACGUGUGCAACCUACCUGUAAGAGGGGAAUAACCCGGAGAAAUUCGGACUAAUACCGCAUAAAACCACGAAUUCGCAUGGAUUUGUGUUUAAACAUUUAUGGCUUACAGAUGGGCAUGCGUAUGAUUAGCUAGUUGGUAGGGUAACGGCCUACCAAGGCAACGAUCAUUAGGGGUUUGGAGAGGAAGGUCCCCCACACUGGUACUGAGACACGGACCAGACUCCUACGGGAGGCAGCAGUGAGGAAUAUUGGUCAAUGGGCGAGAGCCUGGACCAGCCAAGUCGCGUGAAGGAAGAAGGUUCUAUGGAUUGUAAACUUCUUUUGUAAGGGAAUAAAAAGAGUUACGUGUAACUUAUUGUAUGUACUUUACGAAUAAGGAUCGGCUAACUCCGUGCCAGCCGCCGCCGUAACAC